CCUACGGGUGGCAGCAGUGGGGAAUAUUGGACAAUGGGGGCAACCCUGAUCCAGCCAUGCCGCGUGUGUGAAGAAGGCCCUCGGGUUGUAAAGCACUUUCAGUGAGGAAGAACGCCUGGUGGUUAAUACCCAUCAGGAAAGACAUCACUCACAGAAGAAGCACCGGCUAACUCCGUGCCAGCAGCCGCGGGAAUACGGAGGGUGCGAGCGUUAAUCGGAAUUACUGGGCGUAAAGCGCGCGUAGGUGGCUUGAUAAGCCGGUUGUGAAAGCCCCGGGCUCAACCUGGGAACGGCAUCCGGAACUGUCAAGCUAGAGUGCAGGAGAGGAAGGCAGAAUUCCCGGUGUAGCGGUGAAAUGCGUAGAGAUCGGGAGGAAUACCAGUGGCGAAGGCGGCCUUCUGGACUGACACUGACACUGAGGUGCGAAAGCGUGGGUAGCAAACAGGAUUAGAUACCCUGGUAGUC
rnacentral:rRNA from 1 species